UUGACACAGAUCAACAUGUGAGGCCUUCAUGUGUCAACAUGUUAAGAUGCUGGAACCAUGGAUGGAAGAGGCCCAGAGACCCACUCCAGUGACCGGAGGAUCACUGACCAAUCACGAAUCAAACUACCUCAGUUAUCGAGCAAUCAGAUGAAGACUUCAUAAAUUAACACUUGCCUGAUAGGAAACAACUAUUGGAUCGGUAAUUCCAUGUGGGUUGAGACUAAAUGACAGAGGAGUAGUCUAACUUCCCUGUUUGUGAACACAGAAGAUGUUCAUACAGUCAAGCAAGGAGCUUCUAAGGUAGCCUACCAAAAGGAAUUUUUAUUGUAUUUCCAUCAGGAAGGAAGAAAAUAUCCCUGCCAGAUGACAGCAGCUUACUGAAAUGAGCCUCCCCAUGCUAAACAACCCCCCUAUUCCUUUUCUGUUAUUAAAUCUUCCCUGGGUUUGCUUCUGA